rnacentral:rRNA from 1 species
CAGUCGCCACGGUAAUACGAAGGGGGCUAGCGUUGUUCGGAAUUACUGGGCGUAAAGGGCGCGUAGGCGGCCAUUCAAGUUAGAUGUGAAAGCCCUGGGCUCAACCUAGGAAUUGCAUUUGAUACUGUUUGGCUUGAGUUCGGGAGAGGUGAGUGGAAUUCCCAGUGUAGAGGUGAAAUUCGUAGAUAUUGGGAAGAACACCGGUGGCGAAGGCGGCGACCUGGUCCUUGACUGACGCUGAGGCGCGAAAGCGUGGGGAGCAAACAGGAUUAGAUACCCGAGUAGUCCCUGUCUCUUAUAC